rnacentral:misc_RNA from 1 species
CAAGAGUGAACCGGAGAGAGCAAAUUGAGAUAAGAGGUUAAGAGAUCACAAGUGAGUGGUCAAAGUACUUGAGCUUGUGAGAAUUAGUAUGAGUGAGAUUUCGGUAUAGUGAGUCAAUUAGAUCGGGAGCAAUUUAAUUAUUUUUGUAAAUUUCUUCUUUUUUUAGUGAAAAUUCUUUUCGAUAGUCUUCGCAUAUACACGUAGGCUUCACAAUCAAAUUAACGAUGUAAAAUUUCUAUAUGCUCAUGUUAUUUAUUUUUUAUUAUUUUAUUGUCCUAUACUUAAUCAAUCUAUAAUGUUUUG